AAACUUUCAACAACGGAUCUCUUGGUUCUGGCAUCGAUGAAGAACGCAGCGAAAUGCGAUAAGUAGUGUGAAUUGCAGAAUUCAGUGAAUCAUCGAAUCUUUGAACGCACAUUGCGCCCUUGGUAUCCCGGGG
rnacentral:rRNA from 1 species